CGGCCCUACGGGAGGCAGCAGUAGGGAAUCUUCCACAAUGGACGAAAGUCUGAUGGAGCAACGCCGCGUGAGUGAAGAAGGGUUUCGGCUCGUAAAGCUUUGUUGGUAGUGAAGAAAGAUAGAGGUAGUAACUGGCCUUUAUUUGACGGUAAUUACUUAGAAAGUCACGGCUAACUACGUGCCAGCAGCCGCGGUAAUACGUAGGUGGCAAGCGUUGUCCGGAUUUAUUGGGCGUAAAGCGAGUGCAGGCGGGUCAAGAAGACUGAUGUGAAAGCCCUUGGGCCUACCCGAGAA
rnacentral:rRNA from 1 species